rnacentral:tRNA from 1 species
GCCCAGUUCGCAUAAUGGUAUUGCAGCGGAUUGCUAAUCCGCGCCCUUCGGGGCACGCAGGUUCGAUUCCUGCACUGGGCG